rnacentral:rRNA from 1 species
GACUGAUAGGGCAAAUAAAAAUUUGUAAGUAAUAUGGUUAUAAUUUAUUUAUAUUAAGGUUACUCUUGAACGUUAAAGGGUGAAAUCUAGUGUCUGUAAAAGUGGUACUUUAAUAAUAAUUAUUUAGAGGCCGUGAAGAUUUGGGUUCAAAUUAGGAUUAGAUACCCUUGUAUGCCAAAUUUUAAAUUUUAAAACUUGAGUAGUAAGCAGUUAUGAUCUUGAAACUUAGAGAAUUUGGCGGUAUUUUAAUCUGUUUAGAGGAACCUGUUUCGUAAACGAUACACCACGAAAUAUUUUACCUCUUUAAGUAGAAUCAGUUUGUAUACCGUCAUUAUUAGAUAACUUUAAUAAUAGGUUAUUGGAGUAAAAGUUAUUUUAGUAUAUUAGAUCAAGGUGCAGCCAAUAAGGAGGUGGUUAAUGGGUUACAAUAAUAUUUAGUUAAACGAAUUUUAGUUAUAAUUAAUUAAAUGAAGGUGGAUUUAAUUGUAAGUUUAUUUUAAUAAGAUAAUUUGAUAGUAGCUCUAAAAUAUGUACACAUCGCCCGUCGCUCUCAUUACAAUGU